GAUGAACGCUGGCGGCGUGCCUAAUACAUGCAAGUCGAGCGAACGGACGAGAAGCUUGCUUCUCUGAUGUUAGCGGCGGACGGGUGAGUAACACGUGGAUAACCUACCUAUAAGACUGGGAUAACUUCGGGAAACCGGAGCUAAUACCGGAUAAUAUUUUGAACCGCAUGGUUCAAAAGUGAAAGACGGUCUUGCUGUCACUUAUAGAUGGAUCCGCGCUGCAUUAGCUAGUUGGUAAGGUAACGGCUUACCAAGGCAACGAUGCAUAGCCGACCUGAGAGGGUGAUCGGCCACACUGGAACUUAGACACGGUCCAGACUCCUACGGGAGGCAGCAGUAGGGAAUCUUCCGCAAAGGGCGAAAGCCUGACGGAGCAACGCCGCGUGAGUGAUGAAGGUCUUCGGAUCGUAAAACUCUGUUAUUAGGGAAGAACAUAUGUGUAAGUAACUGUGCACAUCUUGACGGUACCUAAUCAGAAAGCCACGGCUAACUACGUG
rnacentral:rRNA from 1 species